UACGAAGGGGGCUAGCGUUGCUCGGAAUCACUGGGCGUAAAGGGUGCGUAGGCGGGUCUUUAAGUCAGGGGGGAAAUCCUGGAGCUCAACUCCAGAACUGCCUUUGAUACUGAAGAUCUUGAGUUCGGGAGAGGUGAGUGGAACUGCGAGUGUAGAGGUGAAAUUCGUAGAUAUUCGCAAGAACCCCAGUGGCGAAGGCGGCUCACUGGCCCGAAACUGACGCUGAGGCACGAAAGCGUGGGGAGCAAACAGG
rnacentral:rRNA from 1 species